AGCGAACGCUGGCGGCAGGCCUAAAACAUGCAAGUCGAACGCCGUAGCAAUACGGAGUGGCAGACGGGUGAGUAACACGUGGGAACGUGCCCUUUGGUUCGGAACAACACAGGGAAACUUGUGCUAAUACCGGAUAAGCCCUUACGGGGAAAGAUUUAUCGCCGAAGGAUCGGCCCGCGUCUGAUUAGCUAGUUGGUGGGGUAAUGGCCCACCAAGGCUACGAUCAGUAGCUGGUCUGAGAGGAUGAUCAGCCACACUGGGACUGAGACACGGCCAAGACUCCUACGGGAGGCAGCAGUUAGGAAUCUUGGACAAUGGGCGCAAGCCUGAUCCAGCCAUGCCGCGUGAGUGAUGAAGGCCUUAGGGUUGUAAAGCUCUUUCAGCGGGGAAGAUAAUGACGGUACCCGCAGAAGAAGCCCCGGCUAACUUCGUGCCAGCAGCCGCCGUAACAC
rnacentral:rRNA from 1 species